CUUCACCCAAUCAGUUAAAGGCCUGAAUAGAACAAAAGGCUGUCUUCACCUGAGCAAGAAGGAAUUUUGCAGCAGCUGACCUUCAGACCUGGAAUGGGACAUUGGCUCUUUCCUGAGUCUUCAGCCUGAUGAUCUUCAAAUUAGAACCGUAGCAUCAGCUCUCCUCUGGGCCUAUAGCCUGCCUGUCUACUCUGCAGAUUUGGGAUUUGGCAGUCUCCAAAAUCAUAUUAUGAUCGUCUCGAGGAAACGGCCUUAUUUACCUUCGUCUAAGUGGAGCAGGUGUUGCACAUGGCACAUAAAAGAUGGAAGAUAACAUCCCUUAAUGUUCUUCUGCCUCGGUUACUAUGAAAAAUUCAGAGUAUAAUAGCAGGACUAAUGCCAAGCUGCAUUGUACUGCCUGCAAAGCACUCAAGGAAAACACGAACAUGCUUCUUUGUUACUUCUUGAGAUAUUAUUAACCAGGGAGAAAGUUUGAACUAAAUAUGAACUAUUGUCAAGCCAAGAGAGGAUUCCCUCAUUCAGAGCGUAUCUCCUUGAAUAAUUCACUCGGCAAAGUCCCUUUUACUGCAACAAGCCUAGACUAGAGUUUCUUAGGGUGUCUUAAUGGAUUUUAAUUGUACCCCUCCCUAUCUUGAUAUCAACACUGUGUUAUUGAUUAUUCUAUUUUGAUCGCUUUUAUUAUUUCUUCCAACCCAAAAGCUUGAAACAAUUCGUACCUUUGGUUUUUGUUUUCAUUGUCUUCUCUAUGGAUAAACUAAUGAACCCAGUGUGUCCAACAUCAUGGGCUUAGCUUGUGAUGCCUUCUCUCUGGCCACAGAUUGUCCCUCUCACCCCCCCCCCCAUAUUGUGAUUUAUAAUAAGAAAUAUAUAUAUGUUGGUCUUCUCCUGUUUCUGGCAUGGAAUUCCUAAAACCCUUGGAAUUUUCGGAAAGAUAAGAGUGAUAAAGAUGUCUUUUGUUAUUCAUAACAAGUCCCUUUCCCACUUAGGAGAGUUAAUGUUAAUAAGUGACUUUUGGAAAACCCUAGGGGUGGGAGCUGCUUGAAAUGGAACCAAUCACCUGAUUAAACUCAAAUUAAUGGAUUAGAACUUUCAACCCCACCCAUCAGCUUGUCCAGGGAGGGGAGAGGGUUUGGAGGUUAAGUCAGUCACCAAUGAGCAGUGAUUUAAUUCAUCAUGCCUAUGUAAUGAAGCCUCUAUAGAUACCCAAUAAAGAAAGCUUUGGAGGUGUUCCUGCUGUGGUGCAGUGGGUUAAGGGUCUGGCAUUGCUGCAGCAGUAUAGGUUGCAGCUGCAGCUCAGAUUCGACCCCUGACCCUGCAACUUCCAUACGCGACGUGUGUGGCUGAAAAAGAAAAAAAGAGAAAGGUUUGGAGAGCUUCUGGAUUGUCAGUACUUGGAGCUGCUGGGAAGCUGGUGCACCUGAAGGAGCCCUUUUCUUCACACUUUCUCUCAAGCAUCUCUUCCACCUGUAAUCAACCAGCAAUCUCAUAAGUACACCCGUUUUCCUGACUUCUGUGAGCUGCUCUAGCAAAUGCAUUGGAUUGAGGAGCGAUUUAUAGCUGGUCAUUCCACAGCAUAAGUGACCACCUGGGCCUGCAGUUGGCCUCUGAAGGGGGAGGACAGGGGCGGUCUUGAGGGACUAAACCCUUAACUUGUGAGGCUUGCUGUCGUCUCCAGGUAGGUCCUGUCAGAAUUAAGCUCAAUUGUAGGAGGCCCAGCUGGUGUGCUGCAGGAUGGCUUGACGUGUAGAAAACCCAGACAUCUGGUGUCAGAAGUGCGGUAGUGUUGUAGUGGAGCCUUGAGAGAAGAGGAGACACCAGAAUGGGUUUUCCAUUUAGACUCCGUAACCCCCAUCGCUAAAAUGCACCUGUGCUGUCAUCGGGCUGAAGUGCUUGGUUAGUUGAGGGGUUGAAGUGCACCUAACUGAAUUCUCCCAUCCAAAGUAAGACUUCCCUUUCUGGCAAAAGGGCCAUUAGCCUUUAAUUCGUUGGGGACAGCAAUCAGCAAGGUUCUAAGGCUCACUUUCUCCUCUUAUAAAGAGAAGAUGAUGAUUAAUGGGAAUAAUUAUGAAGACUAGGCACCACCACAUAAAAGCGAGACAUGAAAUUAUUUGUCCCCUAUGAUUACAACCAUUUAAGAAUGCCUGCAGUUCUAAUGGCCAAGAAUGAAAGGGAAAACAAAAAAGGAAAAACGAUUAUGUUUUACGGAGGUGGGAUUAUGAAUGAACUUAAUCUUCCCUCUAAAUUUUCUCUGAACAUUGUUUUAAAAAUAAACAGAUGUUUAUUUAUAAAUGAACAGAUGUUCAAACCCCUCUAAGACUUCAGCACUCUGACUUUCCUUUUAUGUCCAAAUAAAACGGCUUAAUUAU